AGUGAACGCUGGCGGUAGGCCUAACACAUGCAAGUCGAACGGCAGCACAGUAAGAGCUUGCUCUUACGGGUGGCGAGUGGCGGACGGGUGAGGAAUACAUCGGAAUCUACUUUUUCGUGGGGGAUAACGUAGGGAAACUUACGCUAAUACCGCAUACGCCCUCCGGUUGAAAGCAGGGGAUCUUCGGACCUUGCGCGAUUGAAUGAGCCGAUGUCGGAUUAGCUAGUUGGCGGGGUAAAGGCCCACCAAGGCGACGAUCCGUAGCUGGUCUGAGAGGAUGAUCAGCCACACUGGAACUGAGACACGGUCCAGACUCCUACGGGAGGCAGCAGUGGGGAAUAUUGGACAAUGGGCGCAAGCCUGAUCCAGCCAUACCGCGUGGGUGAAGAAGGCCUUCGGGUUGUAAAGCCCUUUUGUUGGGAAAGAAAAGCAGCAGGUUAAUACCCCGCUGUUCUGACGGUACCCAAAGAAUAAGCACCGGCUAACUUCGUG
rnacentral:rRNA from 1 species